ensembl:lncRNA
GGUCCUUAUGAGGCUCUGUGGGGCUCUAUGGGGUCUUUAUGGGGUCCCAUGGGGUCUUAUGGGGGCUUUAUGGGGUUCUAUGGGGGCUUAAAGGGGUUCUAUGGGGCUCUAUGGGGUCCUAUGGGGUCCUUAUGGGGUUUUAUGGGGUCCAAUGGGGUCCUAUGGGGCUCUAUGAGGUCUUAUGGGGUUCUAUGGGGUCCUUAUGGGGUUCUUAUGGGGUCUUUAUGGGGUCCUAUGGGGUUCUAAUGGAUCCUUAUGAGGCUCUGUGGGGCUCUACGGGGUCCUUAUGGGGUCCUAUGGGGUCUUAUGGGGUCCUACGGGGUCCUAUGGGGGCUUAACAGGGUCCUAUGGGGUCCUUAUGGGGCUCUAUGGGGUUCUAUGGAGACUUAAAGGGGUCCUAUGGGGCUCUAUGGGGUCCCUUUGGGGUUCUUAUGGGGUCCCUAUGGGGUCUUUAUGGGGUCCUAUG